rnacentral:tRNA from 1 species
AAUUAAAUAGCUUAAAAAAAGUAAAGUAUUGAAGAUACUAAGAUGAAAAAUUUUUUCUUUAAUUA